rfam:Magnetococcus sp. MC-1, complete genome.
GUCCCGUUCGUCUAGAGGCCUAGGACACCGGCCUUUCACGUCGGUAACACGGGUUCGAUUCCCGUACGGGACG